UACGUAGGGUGCGAGCGUUGUCCGGAAUUAUUGGGCGUAAAGAGCUUGUAGGCGGUUUGUCGCGUCUGCUGUGAAAAUCCGGGGCUCAACCCCGGACUUGCAGUGGGUACGGGCAGACUAGAGUGUGGUAGGGGAGACUGGAAUUCCUGGUGUAGCGGUGAAAAUGCGCAGAUAUCAGGAGGAACACCGAUGGCGAAGGCAGGUCUCUGGGCCACUACUGACGCUGAGAAGCGAAAGCAUGGGGAGCGAACAGG
rnacentral:rRNA from 1 species